rnacentral:tRNA from 1 species
GAAAAAUUAGUUAAAUUAAAUAACAUUAGCUUGUCAAGCUUAAAUUAUCAGGAUUCUGAUAUUUUUCA